AGGGAUAGAACUCACAUCUACUGUGUCUCCUAUGUCAUCAGGCAGAUUCUUUGCCACAGCUUCCUGAUUUUCUAAACUGUUUCAAUUUUAGUUUAUCUGUUUCUGAAGCAAGCACUUACCUUCCUGAUUCUAAAUGUCACUGUAACUCAACUCUCACCAAUGGACAAGGCUUUCAUUCACAUGCUGAAGAGUUGCUCUGUGCCAGCUCAAUAAACUUGAAAGAUUGUGUAUAAAUAGAAGUAAAAUUACUAAAAAGAGAGAGAGAGAGUGAUCCCACCUAGCUUUGGAGCCCCUUCUAACAUGUGAGGACGCAAUGAGAACCCUGCCACCUGGGAGUGGUACCUCACCCAAUCAUGCUAGCAUCCUAUCUCAGACUUUCAGCCUCCAGGACAGUAAGAAAUAAGUUUCUGUUGCUUACAAGUUACUUGGCCUGCAGCAUUUUGCAAUAGCAGCUCAAAUGAGCAAAGGCAGCAAUAUAAUAAAAAUUAUUAAUACUACAUCUCUGAUUUCCAUCCAACUUUUUUUUUUUGUUAGUCUCCAGGAUACCAUGUAUGAAUAACUGCUGUGAGAGCAGGAAAAUUCUACAAAGUCCAAAGAAUGAAACUGGAGCCAUUAAUAAACUAAAGGCUGUGUUCCUUCAUUAAUUUGGGUCCAUAUAUAUAGUUCAAGUAUGAACAGUCUUAAUGCUGCAAGACUGUGUUUAAACAAUUGCUGAUUACUGAUGUAGUAUUGUCAUUUUAGGGGGAUUUUUGUGGCAAGGGAGGUAAUUCUUAUACUCAUUUCAAUGAUUCUACAUGAAUUGAUCACAGGGUUUUGAAAAGAACAUGUUUAUAGUAUUAUCUAUUUUUUGCCCAUAUCCUUGAGGUGUUGAGCACUCAAAGAGAAAAACUUAACAAGGAAAUCAUGAAUGUGGAUAGAAGGGCAGAAGACUGCUGGAAUGGAUGGUAUGAUAUUUCAGCUGCAGUCUGCAUGACAUUACCUGCCUGAAGAGGUCUCUUUCAAAACAGUUUGUUUCUCUAGUCAUAUUCUAUUAAUCACACAUACAAAUAUGAUAAUGUCAAAUUCAGCUCAAUCCAAACACAUGUUCAAAGCAAAGAAACAG
rnacentral:lncRNA from 1 species